CGCCUAGGCUGGAGCGCCGUGGUACAGUCUUGACUCACUGCAAUUCUGCCUCCUGGGUUCAAGUGAUUCUUGUGCCUCAGCCAUUGAGUAGCUGGGAUGACAGGCACAUGCCUAGCUAAUUUUUGUAUUUUUUGUAGAGACGGGGUUUCGCCAUGUUGACCAGGCUGGUCUUGAACUCCUGAACUCAAUUGAUCCACCCGCCUUGGCCUCCCAAAGUGCUGGGAUUACAGGCAUGAGCCACUGCACCCAGCAAUGAGUAGUCUUAAUGAGGAAAGUAGGUCAUAGUAAUCUGCAGAAUACUGUAGAUAAAGAAACUGAGAAAAACCUGUUUGGUUCCCAUUUAGCAAAUAUCUAUAUUCCUUAUAAUAUGUCUAUUUCUCCUAAGAAACUUUCCACUUUAGACACUUGUAAGAAAAAUCAAAAUUGGUUGUUAUUGCAGUUGUUUGUCUUAUUUCACUUUUUUUUCCCCGGGUUUCCCUUCAGUAAUCAGUUCAAGAAGUUCCCUCAGAUGACCUCAUAUCACCGGAUGCUAUUACACCGGGUAGCUGCCUAUUUUGGGAUGGACCACAAUGUUGAUCAAACUGGGAAAGCUGUCAUCAUCAACAAAACUAGUAACACAAGAAUCCCUGAACAGAGGUUCUCAGAACAUAUAAAGGAUGAGAAGAAUACAGAAUUUCAACAGAGGUUCAUUCUCAAGAGAGAUGAUGCCAGUAUGGACCGAGAUGAUAACCAGGGGGAACCGUGAAGGGCUGAGCCGCACCUCAAGCAGCCGCCAGAGCAGCACAGACAGCGAACUCAAAUCCCUGGAGCCACGCCCUUGGAGCAGCACAGAUUCUGAUGGCUCUGUCCGGAGCAUGCGACCCCCUGUCACCAAAGCCAGCAGCUUCAGUGGAAUCUCUAUCCUUACCCGAGGUGACAGCAUCGGCAGCAGUAAAGGCGGCAGUGCGGGAAGGAUCUCCAGGCCAGGUAUGGCACUAGGUGCCCCAGAAGUGUGCAACCAGGUCACCUCAUCCCAGUCUGUGCGGGGGCUUCUCCCUUGUACUGCCCAGCAGCAACAGCAACAGCAGCAGCAGCAGCAACUUCCUGCUCUCCCACCCACGCCUCAGCAACAGCCACCCUUGAAUAAUCACAUGAUCUCACAGGCAGAUGACCUCAGCAACCCCUUUGGACAAAUGAGCCUUAGUCGCCAAGGUUCUACUGAAGCAGCUGACCCAUCUGCAGCUCUAUUCCAGACCCCACUUAUAUCCCAGCACCCUCAGCAGACUAGCUUCAUCAUGGCUUCCACGGGUCAGCCCCUCCCCACUUCCAACUAUUCCACCUCUAGCCAUGCACCACCUACUCAGCAAGUUCUGCCACCCCAGGGGUACAUGCAGCCCCCUCAACAGAUCCAGGUUUCUUACUAUCCCCCUGGACAAUAUCCUAACUCCAACCAGCAAUAUCGACCUCUCUCUCACCCGGUGGCCUAUAGCCCCCAACGUGGUCAGCAGCUGCCUCAGCCAUCCCAGCAGCCUGGUUUACAGCCCAUGAUGCCUAACCAGCAGCAGGCGGCUUACCAAGGCAUGAUUGGGGUCCAGCAGCCACAGAACCAGGGCCUGCUCAGCAGCCAGAGGAGCAGCAUGGGGGGCCAGAUGCAAGGCCUGGUGGUUCAGUACACUCCACUGCCUUCUUACCAAGUUCCAGUGGGUAGUGACUCGCAAAAUGUGGUCCAGCCGCCUUUCCAGCAACCCAUGCUGGUCCCUGUGAGCCAGUCUGUGCAAGGAGGCCUCCCAGCAGCGGGGGUACCAGUGUACUAUAGCAUGAUCCCACCUGCUCAGCAGAACGGUACGAGCCCUUCUGUAGGGUUUCUGCAACCCCCUGGCUCUGAGCAGUACCAAAUGUCUCAGUCUCCCUCUCCCUGCAGUCCACCACAGAUGCCACAGCAGUACUCAGGAGUGUCACCUUCUGGACCAGGUGUAGUGGUCAUGCAGCUGAAUGUCCCUAAUGGACCCCAGCCCCCUCAGAACCCAUCCAUGGUCCAGUGGAGUCAUUGUAAAUACUACAGCAUGGACCAGCGGGGGCAGAAGCCUGGAGACCUGUACAGUCCUGACAGCAGCCCCCAGGCCAACACACAAAUGAGCAGCAGCCCUGUCACAUCUCCUACCCAGUCUCCAGCACCCUCUCCUGUCACCAGCCUCAGCAGUGUCUGCACAGGACUCAGUCCCCUGCCUGUCCUCACACAGUUCCCCCGGCCUGGGGGUCCAGCACAGGGUGAUGGGCGCUACUCCCUUUUGGGCCAGCCAUUACAGUACAAUCUGUCCAUCUGCCCUCCAUUGCUCCAUGGCCAGUCAACUUACACGGUGCACCAGGGACAGAGUGGAUUGAAGCAUGGAAACCGGGGCAAGAGACAAGCACUCAAAUCUGCCUCCACUGACCUGGGGACAGCAGAUGUUGUCCUGGGGCGGGUGCUGGAGGUGACAGAUCUCCCUGAGGGCAUCACCCGUACCGAGGCGGACAAACUCUUCACACAGCUCGCCAUGUCCGGCGCCAAGAUCCAGUGGCUCAAGGAUGCUCAGGGGCUGCCUGGAGGGGGUGGGGGGGACAACAGUGGGACUGCUGAGAAUGGCCGCCACUCGGACCUCGCUGCCUUGUACACCAUUGUGGCUGUGUUCCCCAGCCCCCUGGCUGCCCAAAAUGCCUCCCUUCGUCUCAACAACUCCGUGAGUCGCUUCAAACUUCGAAUGGCCAAAAAGAACUAUGACCUGAGGAUCCUGGAGCGAGCCAGCUCCCAGUAAAUGGAGGAGGGGAAAGGGACUGUCACAGAAGGAGCAAGGGCAGGGUGGAGGGGGUUGAAGGAUCCUGACAGACCAUGGACAGAGGCAGGAAGUAAGGAAACUCAUGUUAAACUGGAGCCUAAGACAGUGAUGAAGAUGGAAACAGACAGAUACCCACACUGGCAUUGGACUCCUUCUUGCUCCCCUGCCAUGGGUCCCCUCUUUUUCCCUGGUUGACCCCCCUUGCAUCACUCUUCUUCCCAUCCUCUUCUUUUUUUUUUUGAGACGGAGUUUGGCUCUUGUCACCCAAGCUGGAGUACAGUGGGGCACGAUCUUGGCUAACUGCAACCUCCAGCUCCUGGGUUCAGGUGAUUCUCCUGCCUCAGCCUCCCAAGUAGCUGGCACUACAGACACGCGCCACCAUGCCCGGCUAAUUUUUGUAUUUUUAGUAGAGACGGAGUUUCACCAUGUUGGCCAGGCUGGUCUCAAACUCCUGACCUCAGGUGAUCCACCCGCCUUGGCCUUCCAGAGUGCUGGGAUUACAGGCAUGAGCCACUGUGCCCGGCCCCCAUCCUCGUCUAUCAUUUUUUAAAUCUCUUCUCCCAUCAUACAAUUAAUUUCUCUCACAUUUUUUGGUCAGGUAGAAUUGGGAAAGUCCCACACUGUCCUCCUAUUACCUUAACAUCCCAAGCUUCCUUUCCUUUUUUGGUCUUUAUGAAUAUAUUUAUAUGGACAGAAUUAAGAUAAACAAAAUUGAUUGCCCCAUUCUCGCACUUCCCCAUCUUGUCUUCCUAGACCCCACAGAGUUAAAACUUGGGACUCCCCCGGCCCCCCCAGAACACUUGUAUAUUGUUUGUUUGAGGUUCGUGCCACAGUAACAGACACAGUAUUUAAUUGCACAUACAGAUGUUUGCUGGGUAUAUUCACUGUAAAUUUUAUUUAAUCUGGUUUUUUGUUUGUUUGGGGGUUAUUUGGGGGGAGGUUGGUUUUGUUUUUAAAUAUAAAAAAAAAAAAAUCUGUCAUUGGACA
rnacentral:sRNA from 1 species